AUAGGGGAGCCGUAGGGAAACCGAGUCUUAACUGGGCGAAUGAGUUGCAUGACGUAGACCCGAAACCGAGUGAUCUAGCCAUGGGCAGGUUGAAGAUUGAGUAACAUCAAUUGGAGGACCGAACCGACUAAUGUUGAAAAAUUAGCGGAUGACUUGUGGCUAGGGGUGAAAGGCCAAUCAAACUCGGAGAUAGCUGGUUCUCCCCGAAAGCUAUUUAGGUAGCGCCUCGGACGAAUACUACUGGGGGUAGAGCACUGUUAAGGCUAGGGGGUCAUCCCGACUUACCAACCCUUUGCAAACUCCGAAUACCAGUAAGUAAUAUCCGGGAGACACACGGCGGGUGCUAACGUCCGUCGUGGAGAGGGAAACAACCCAGACCGCCAGCUAAGGUCCCAAAGUUAUCGCUAAGUGGGAAACGAUGUGGGAAGGCUCAGACAGCCAGGAUGUUGGCUUAGAAGCAGCCAUCAUUUAAAGAAAGCGUAAUAGCUCACUGGUCGAGUCGGCCUGCGCGGAAGAUGUAACGGGGCUAAGCGAUACACCGAAGCUGCGGCAUCAGUCUUUUAGACUGUUGGGUAGGGGAGCGUUCUGUAAGCCGUUGAAGGUGUACUGAGAAGUAUGCUGGAGGUAUCAGAAGUGCGAAUGCUGACAUGAGUAACGACAAAGGGGGUGAAAAACCUCCUCGCCGGAAGACCAAGGGUUCCUGUCCAACGUUAAUCGGGGCAGGGUAAGUCGACCCCUAAGGCGAGGCCGAAAGGCGUAGUCGAUGGGAAACGGGUUAAUAUUCCCGUACUGCUUAUAACUGCGAUGGGGGGACGGAGAAGGCUAGGUGGGCCUCGCGACGGUUGUCGAGGUUCAAAGGUGUAGGCUGUAUUCUUAGGCAAAUCCGGGAAUACAUUAAGGCUGAGACCUGAUGUCGAGUCACUACGGUGAUGAAGUCAUUGAUGCCAUGCUUCCGGGAAAAGCCUCUAAGCUUCAGGUUAUAAGGAAUCGUACCCCAAACCGACACAGGUGGUCGGGUAGAGAAUACCAAGGCGCUUGAGAGAACUCGGGUGAAGGAACUAGGCAAAAUGGUACCGUAACUUCGGGAGAAGGUACGCUGCCCGCGGUGAAGUCCCUUGCGGAUGGAGCUAUGGGCAGUCGCAGAUACCAGGUGGCUGCAACUGUUUAUUAAAAACAUAGCACUGUGCAAAAUCGAAAGAUGACGUAUACGGUGUGACGCCUGCCCGGUGCCGGAAGGUUAAUUGAUGGGGUUAUCUUCGGAGAAGCUCUUGAUCGAAGCCCCGGUAAACGGCGGCCGUAACUAUAACGGUCCUAAGGUAGCGAAAUUCCUUGUCGGGUAAGUUCCGACCUGCACGAAUGGCGUAAUGAUGGCCACGCUGUCUCCACCCGAGACUCAGUGAAAUUGAAAUCGCAGUGAAGAUGCUGUGUACCCGCGGCUAGACGGAAAGACCCCGUGAACCUUUACUACAGCUUGGCACUGAACAUUGACCCUACAUGUGUAGGAUAGGUGGGAGGCUUUGAAGCAAGUACGCCAGUAUUUGUGGAGCCGUCCUUGAAAUACCACCCUUGUAUGCUUGAUGUUCUAACGUAGGCCCCUUAUCGGGGUUGCGGACAGUGCCUGGUGGGUAGUUUGACUGGGGCGGUCUCCUCCCAAAGAGUAACGGAGGAGCACGAAGGUGGGCUAAUCACGGUCGGACAUCGUGAGGUUAGUGCAAUGGCAUAAGCCCGCUUGACUGCGAGAAUGACGGUUCGAGCAGGUGCGAAAGCAGGUCAUAGUGAUCCGGUGGUUCUGAAUGGAAGGGCCAUCGCUCAACGGAUAAAAGGUACUCCGGGGAUAACAGGCUGAUACCGCCCAAGAGUUCAUAUCGACGGCGGUGUUUGGCACCUCGAUGUCGGCUCAUCACAUCCUGGGGCUGAAGUCGGUCCCAAGGGUAUGGCUGUUCGCCAUUUAAAGUGGUACGCGAGCUGGGUUUAGAACGUCGUGAGACAGUUCGGUCCCUAUCUGCCGUGGGCGUUGGAUGAUUGAGAGGGGCUGCUCCUAGUACGAGAGGACCGGAGUGGACGAACCUCUGGUGUUCGGGUUGUCACGCCAGUGGCAUUGCCCGGUAGCUAAGUUCGGAAUCGAUAACCGCUGAAAGCAUCUAAGCGGGAAGCGAGCCUCAAGAUGAGUCAUCCCUAGGACUAUAAGUCCUCUAAAGGGUUGUUGGAGACUACGACGUAGAUAGGUCAGGUGUGUAAGCGCUGCGAGGCGUUGAGCUAACUGAUACUAAUUGCCCGUGAGGCUUAACCAU
rnacentral:rRNA from 1 species